UACGUAGGUGGCAAGCGUUGUCCGGAUUUACUGGGCGUAAAGAGCGCGCAGGCGGCCAACUAAGUCAGACGUGAAAUCCCUCAGCUUAACUGGGGAACUGCGUCUGAUACUGGAUGGCUUGGAUUCGGGAGAGGAAUGCGGAAUUCCAGGUGUAGCGGUGAAAUGCGUAGAUAUCUGGAGGAACACCGGUGGCGAAGGCGGCAUUCUGGACCGAUAUUGACGCUGAGGAGCGAAAGCCAGGGGAGCAAACGGG
rnacentral:rRNA from 1 species